rnacentral:tRNA from 1 species
GGGGCUAUAGCUCAGUAGGGAGAGCGUCUGCUUUGCACGUAGAAGGUCAUCGGUUCGAUUCCGAUUAGCUCCACAA